rnacentral:lncRNA from 1 species
AGAGGGUCGAGCAAGUGUUUCUUCGCCAUAAUAUCUAGACGUUUUCAUCCAUAUUUUCGACAUUUUAAAGCGUCAAAUGGUGGAAAAUUCACCAUAAAGAAAUCUAUGAAACCUUGAAACCUUGAGCUUACCUGGUGCUGUAAUAAACAUCGCCAUUGGGAUAGAUUAUUAUCCGCGAAUUGUCCUUGGUCACCCUGUGGAAGCUGGAUUUCAUUGCGUUGAUGAAGUACGUGUCUGGAAUCCAGAACAAUUUCCUGGCAUCUUCCGCCAUGGUGAAAGCCUUGGUGUAGUUGUGCUUGAAACGUGGGUCAUGCCACCAUUGACGGAAAAAUAUAUCCAUAGUAUAUUCCUACAGAUGAUGAAGAACAAGAGGUCGUAAGGGAUAAGGAUGGUCGUUAAUAAAGUUGUUUUUUUAGAUUCAAGGUCAUUGAAAUGCUAGUUGGGGAACGAGAAUCGAACUUCAAGGGUCGCACUUCAGCGAUAAUGGUUAGUGAGACCUUUUAAUGAAGUAGCAUAUAAUGUAAAUUUUUUUGUGUUUUUGCUUCUGAUUUAUGCCUUGGGGAGAAAUAUGGCAAAUAGAAGAAAAGGAAAGGAAAAAAGAAAGAAAAGAAAGUAAGAAAGAAGGAAAAAGAAAAGAUAGAAAAAGGAAAGAGAGAAUGGAGAGUUAGUUCUUAAUUUAUCAAAGUGAGAUAAAGAGAGAAAGAACACGGAAAAAAAGAAAGAAAGAAGAAUAAGGAAAGAGCAGGAAAAACGCCAAGUCAAGCGGCAUAGCACCUUACCUUCCAU